GCAUAUCAAUAAGCGGAGGAAAAGAAACCAACCGGGAUUGCCUUAGUAACGGCGAGUGAAGCGGCAAAAGCUCAAAUUUGAAAUCUGGUACCUUCGGUGCCCGAGUUGUAAUUUGGAGAGGGCAACUUUGGGGCCGUUCCUUGUCUAUGUUCCUUGGAACAGGACGUCAUAGAGGGUGAGAGUCCCGUGUGGCGAGGAGUGCGGUUCUUUGUAAAGUGCCUUCGAAGAGUCGAGUUGUUUGGGAAUGCAGCUCUAAGUGGGUGGUAAAUUCCAUCUAAAGCUAAAUAUUGGCGAGAGACCGAUAGCGAACAAGUACAGUGAUGGAAAGAUGAAAAGAACUUUGAAAAGAGAGUGAGAAAGUACGUGAAAUUGUUGAAAGGGAAGGGCAUUUGAUCAGACAUGGUGUUUUGUGCCCUCUGCUCCUUGUGGGUAGGGGAAUCUCGCAUUUCACUGGGCCAGCAUCAGUUUUGGUGGCAGGAUAAAUCCAUAGGAAUGUAGCUUGCCUCGGUAAGUAUUAUAGCCUGUGGGAAUACUGCCAGCUGGGACUGAGGACUGCGACGUAAGUCAAGGAUGCUGGCAUAAUGGUUAUAUGCCGCCCGUCUUGAAACACGGACC
rnacentral:rRNA from 1 species